AGGGUUUCGAGCUCUUUACAUACAAAGAAAACCCAGAUUUUUUCCUUUUCGUCGUAGGACUGUGAGGGAGGGAGCGAGAGUGUGAUAAUCGUUUGUUGCCUUCUCUCAGAAAUGGUUACGUUCAGGUUUCACCAGUACCAGGUCGUUGGGAGGGCUCUCCCAACGGAAGCAGAUCAGCACCCAAAGAUUUACCGCAUGAAACUUUGGGCCACCAACGAGGUUCGGGCAAAAUCCAAGUUCUGGUACUUCUUGAGGAAGCUGAAGAAGGUCAAGAAGAGCAAUGGUCAAAUGCUCGCUAUCAAUGAG